rnacentral:lncRNA from 1 species
CCAUUUGAAAUAUUAUGCCACUGUCCCAGAUUCAUUUUAUAACACAGAUGCGGUAGAUUUUCAUUUUACCCUUGGGCCUGGUGCGACUUAGUCAGCAAACAUUAUUGUACACUCUUAAUCAUGAGCUUCUUUCCAAAAACAUCCUGUCGGUUCUUAUGGAGUUGACGCUUUUCUGAGUGUGAAAUGGUGCUUUCCCCACAGAGCUCCUUCACACCAGCCAGGAGCCUAAUAGAAUCCAAAAGCUAAGACUUCCCUCUUUCUGAACAUAUUGGUGGGUUGUUAUUAGUCUUGCUGGUUCCCCAGGAAGCUCAUGAACAGAAAGUCCUGCCUCUGUACUUUUUAAUGAAUGAGAGGCCCAUCCCAACAAAAGCAUGAAAACUUCAGAUUGGCUAGUGUCUUUUUAUAGCCCUUUUCUUCCCCAAGAGAUGCCCGGGACCUCACAAUGAGGUGCUUUGUGAGCCUCACACCAAGGUUGCUUUGGCACCUCCGUCACACAGAGCAUGUGCAGACUGUGACAGGCUUCCAGGGAAGCCACUUCCCACAUGUGCUUCUCUGGUUCCCUCAUUGGUGUUCGGGCAGAGGAGGCUGGUUCCUCCCGGUGAGCUGGGUGCUAUGAGAGAUUAGACUUCCACGCACGAAAAUACACCCUGCACAUUUGAUGUACUGCUUUAAACUUAAAGACCUCUUGAGAGCCGAAAUUGUAAGGCCUUUCAAGUCACAAUGUGGAAACCAAGCAUUUUUCAGACGACUGCAUGUUAAAAUGCACCUUACGGAUAUUUACCCUACUGAGGACAAGUUUUGCUCUCAUUUACAAUCCAGGCCAGAAGAUAGCACUUUGAAGGAGGACAGGGAGAAAUCCUAUUUCCUGUGUUCUUUAAAGUAGAGGACUAAGGGGCUACAACAACCAUGAUCAUAUCUUCUACCAUAUAUGGAGCAUUUAAUAUGAGCAAUGAUCUGUGCUACGUCUGCUGCAUCCAUUUUCUUUCAACUCUCUGAGGUAGGUAUUUCAUUUUCAUUUAUCGGGUAAGAAAGUUAAACUGAGGAUAUAGAACAGUAUAUGGUAGUAGUGAGGAUUUGAACCCACGGCAGUCUGCCACCACGGUCUGUGCUCUGCUGUGCUGUACUAUUUUUCCCUACAUCCUGUACAUGGAGUGAAGAGUUCACAAAGUGGGCACUGUAAAGUGUUUCCCUGAGCCUGGGGAAGCAUUUUCUAAAGCAAAGGCAAGAAGUGGACCUAAUUCUUGAGACAUAUAUCCUC